rnacentral:rRNA from 1 species
UGGGGAAUAUUGGACAAUGGGGGCAACCCUGAUCCAGCAAUGCCGCGUGAGUGAUGAAGGCCUUAGGGUUGUAAAGCUCUUUUGCCAGGGAAGAUGAUGACUGUACCUGGAGAAUAAGCCCCGGCUAACUUCGUGCCAGCAGCCGCGGUAAUACGAAGGGGGCUAGCGUUGUUCGGAAUUACUGGGCGUAAAGGGCGCGUAGGCGGCCGAUUAAGUUAGAUGUGAAAGUCCUGGGCUCAACCUGGGGACUGCAUUUAAUACUGGUUGGCUUGAAUUCGGGAGAGGAUAGCGGAAUUCCCAGUGUAGAGGUGAAAUUCGUAGAUAUUGGGAAGAACACCGGUGGCGAAGGCGGCUAUCUGGACCGACAUUGACGCUGAGGCGCGAAAGCGUGGGGAGCAAACAG